AAAGGGUAUCAAAAAUUUCAGGUUGAAAGUAUAAAGUAGUGGAAAUAGGGCAAACCUGAUUGGAGAGAUCGAUUGAAAUUGAGUUGCACCCGUGGGUUUGUAGAGCAAUCUUGGGGUAGAUAUGAGGUAAAGGUGAUUCUGUGCAAAUGAGUUUCCUUCAGGGUCUGGAGGUUGCUCUGAACUCUGUUAGCUCUUCUCUCACUAUCUUUUUCCCAGGUUAGGUCAGGGUUUUGUUCCAAGGAAACCUCAGAGUGUUU
rnacentral:lncRNA from 1 species